UGAGGGAUAUUGGUCAAUGGGCGGAAGCCUGAACCAGCCAUGCCGCGUGCCGGAAGACGGCCCUACGGGCUGUAAACGGCUUUUCGCCCCGAGGAAUAAGGGGGCCUCGGCCCCCGAUGCCAGUAGGGGCGGAAUAAGGAUCGGCUAACUCCGUGCCAGCAGCCGGGGUAAUACGGAGGAUUCGAGCGUUAUCCGGAUUUACUGGGUUUAAAGGGCGCGUAGGCGGCCCGGCAGGUCUGCGGGCAAAUGGAGGGGCCCAACCCCUUUUCGCCGUGGAAACCGCGGGGCUUGGAGCGGCACGAGGUGGGCGGAAUGCGUGGUGUAGCGGUGAAAUGCGUAGAUAUCACGUGGAAGGCCAAUAUCGAAGGCAGCUUGCCAGUGCCGACUCGACGCUGCAGCGCGAAAGCGUGGGGAGCGAACAGG
rnacentral:rRNA from 1 species